CAAGACGAUGUAUAGGAGCUGACGCCUGCCCGGUGCUGGAAGGUUAAGGGGAUCUGUUAGAGCAAUCGAAGCAGUGAACUUAAGCCCCAGUAAACGGCGGCCGUAACUAUAACGGUCCUAAGGUAGCGAAAUUCCUUGUCGGGUAAGUUCCGACCCGCACGAAAGGCGUAACGAUUUGGGCACUGUCUCAACAACAGACUCGGUGAAAUUGUAAUUCCGGUGAAGAUGCCGGAUACCUGCGACAGGACGGAAAGACCCCAUGGAGCUUUACUGUAGCUUGACAUUGGGUCUUGGUACUACAUGUACAGGAUAGGUGGGAGGCUUUGAAACCAGGACGCCAGUUUUGGCGGAGCCAUCCUUGGGAUACCACCCUUGUAGUACUGGGACUCUAACCAUAGGCCAUGAAUCUGGUCUUGGGACACUGUCAGGUGGGCAGUUUGACUGGGGCGGUCGCCUCCCAAAAGGUAACGGAGGCGCUCAAAGGUUCUCUCAGUACGGUCGGAAAUCGUACGUAGAGUGUAAAGGCAAAAGAGAGCUUGAUUGCAAGACAUACAGGUCGAGCAAGGAUGAAAAUCGGACUUAGUGAUCCGGUGGUUCUGCGUGGAAGGGCCAUCGCUCAACGGAUAAAAGCUACCCUGGGGAUAACAGGCUUAUCUCCCCCAAGAGUCCACAUCGACGGGGAGGUUUGGCACCUCGAUGUCGGCUCAUCACAUCCUGGGGCUGUAGUAGGUCCCAAGGGUUGGGCUGUUCGCCCAUUAAAGUGGUACGCGAGCUGGGUUCAGAACGUCGUGAGACAGUUCGGUCCCUAUCCGUCGCAGGCGUAGGAAAUUUGAGAAGACCUGUCCUUAGUACGAGAGGACCGGGAUGGACG
rnacentral:rRNA from 1 species